rnacentral:rRNA from 1 species
AAUUAUUGGUAGCAAAGGGUAAAAUCAAACUGCUAUUAUAUAAGUUAAAGUGAUUAAGGCUGAAGCUAAAAAAGUUUAGUUAAGCACUAGGAUUAGAUACCCUAUUAUUCUGAACUGAAAAUGUAAACCACUAAGUUAGUAAUAGUUAGUUACUUAAAAAUUAAAAAAUUUGGCGGUGGUUUAAUCUUACCAGAGGAACUUGUUUCUUAAACGAUAUACCACGCAGAAUCUUACUUGUUUUUGUAAUAUAAUCAGUUUGUAUACCAUCAUUAACAGGUAAUUUUAAGAGAAGUAAUUACUAGGUAAUAAUUGAUUAUUGAAAUUAGAUCAUGGUGCAGCAUAUAAACAAGUCGAAAUGAGUUACAAUAAGGUUUCUUAUAUGAAUCAGCAAAGUAAGAGUUGUUGUGAAGGAGGAUUUGGUUGUAUUUUAAGUUUAAUAAGCUUAUAAGAUAUAGGUUCUAAACCAUGUACAUAUCGCCCGUCACUUUCGU